GUCCUUCGGGAUCCUACGUCCUCUCUCUCGAACUCGCAUGUCUACAGAAUGUGUAUGUCGGUCGACGACCGCGAACCUUUGUACAACUUUCAGCAAUGGAUCUCUUGGCUCUCGCAUCGAUGAAGGACGCAGCGAAUCGCGAUAAGUAAUGUGAAUUGCAGAUUUUCCGUGAAUCAUCGAAUCUUUGAACGCACCUUGCGCUCCCCGGUAUUCCGGGGAGCAUGCCUGUUUGAGUGUCAUCGAAAUCUCGAACCGACGCCUUCGAUCCGCUCGAAGCUCGGUCUCGGAACGUGGGGGUCUGCGGGCGGCGACGUCGGCUCCCCUCAAACGCAUCAGCUGUGGGCGCGAGCCCUGCGUGGCACGGCCUCCUCGACGUCGUAACGAUCGUCGCGGGCUGGAAGCGCACGGAUCGACGGUCCCAUGCUUUCCAACCUCUCGUGGGACGACCGCGAGCGUAUCGAAGCUUGACCUCAAAUCAGGUAGGACUACCCGCCGAACUUAAGCAUAUCAAUAAGCGGAGGAAAAGAAACUAACGAGGAUUCCCCUAGUAACUGCGAGUGAAGCGGGAAGAGCUC
rnacentral:rRNA from 1 species